rnacentral:rRNA from 1 species
AUUGAACGCUGGCGGCAGGCCUAACACAUGCAAGUCGAGCGGAGCGGCGGACGGGUGAGUAAUGACUAGGAAUCUGCCUGGUAGUGGGGGAUAACGUCCGGAAACGGGCGCUAAUACCGCAUACUAUCAGAUGAGCCUAGGUCGGAUUAGCUAGUUGGUGGGGUAAAGGCCUACCAAGGCGACGAGCCGUAACUGGUCUGAGAGGGUGAUCAGUCACACUGGAAUGGGGACACGGUCCAGACUCCUACGGGAGGAGGCAGUGGGGAAUAUUGGACAAUGGGCGAAGGCCUGAUCCAGCCAUGCCGGGUGUGUGAAGAAGGUCUUCGGUUUGUAAAGCACUUUAAGCUGGGAGGCGUUACCAGCAGAAUAAGCACCGGCUAACUACGUGCCAGCAGCCGCGGUAAUUC